CCUACGGGAGGCUGCAGUGGGGAAUAUUGCACAAUGGGCGCAAGCCUGAUGCAGCCAUGCCGCGUGUGUGAAGAAGGCCUUCGGGUUGUAAAGCACUUUCAGCGGGGAGGAAGGCGGUGAGGUUAAUAACCUCAUCGAUUGACGUUACCCGCAGAAGAAGCACCGGCUAACUCCGUGCCAGCAGCCGCGGUAAUACGGAGGGUGCAAGCGUUAAUCGGAAUUACUGGGCGUAAAGCGCACGCAGGCGGUCUGUCAAGUCGGAUGUGAAAUCCCCGGGCUCAACCUGGGAACUGCAUUCGAAACUGGCAGGCUAGAGUCUUGUAGAGGGGGGUAGAAUUCCAGGUGUAGCGGUGAAAUGCGUAGAGAUCUGGAGGAAUACCGGUGCCGAAGGCGGCCCCCUGGACAAAGACUGACGCUCAGGUGCGAAAGCGUGGGGAGCAAACAGGAUUAGAUACCCUAGUAGUC
rnacentral:rRNA from 1 species